UACGUAGGGGGCUAGCGUUAUCCGGAAUUACUGGGCGUAAAGGGUGCGCAGGCGGCCGUGUGUGUGAGGCGUGAAAGCCCGGGGCUCAACCCCGGAAUUGCACCUCAAACUACAUGGCUAGAGCAUUGGAGAGGGAAGCGGAAUUCACGGUGUAGCAGUGAAAUGCGUAGAUAUCGUGAGGAACACCAGAGGCGAAGGCGGCUUCCUGGACAAUUGCUGACGCUCAGGCACGAAAGCGUGGGGAGCAAAAGGG
rnacentral:rRNA from 1 species